CCCUGGUUAGCUCAGUUAGUAGAGCGCUCCUCCACCUGUAAUGGAGAGGUCCCAGGUUCGAUACCCGGAUCAGGCG
rnacentral:tRNA from 1 species